UGAACACUUUGUAACAUAUUCAUUGACCUC
rnacentral:piRNA from 1 species